GGGGGCGACUGGUAUUGACAGCGGGUUGAAGGUCUGUGUAAGCAUGUCGGGAGUUGGGGGUAUCUUCCGUAACAAAUGCCUUCCAAAUAAUACACGGCGAGUCUAACUACGCCAUGGCUGCCUAAUCUAGGAUUACGCAAAUGCCAUCAUCCCUCCUCCCCACGUGCUGCCGGGAGGAUCAAGGGGUGUCGAAACGCAGCGCUGGUUGGAAUAGUGAUACGGAAAACCAACGAGACACCAGUAUCUAAGGUCGCGGUGAAGGUCUGAUUUGAACCUUGCCCGGCACGAAAACCGAAUCAAAGCUAAACAUGUAGAAGGCGCAGGGUUUCCCUGUUCUGGACGAGGGUUCGAAUCCCUCCGUCUCCAC
rnacentral:tmRNA from 1 species